GACGUAGGUGGCGAACGUUAUCCGGAAUUAUUGGGCGUAAAGGGUGCGUAGGUGGUCUGAUAAGUUAUCAGUGGCCAAAUCGAGGCUCAACCUUCGUGGAAACUGGUAAUACUGUCCGACUUGAGUACAGGAGAGGUUAACGGAACUCUAUGUGGAGCGGUAAAAUGCACAGAUAUAUAGAAGAACAUCAAUAACGGCGUAAGGCAGUUAACUAUUCUGUUACUGAACACUGGAGGCACGAAAGCGUGGGGAGCAAAACGG
rnacentral:rRNA from 1 species